GCCAACACCUUCACCAGUUUCCCCAACCAACAAUGGAUGAACCUGGCCCCUCUGAACCAGGACCCUCAACCCAAUCUUCCAAACGACCAGCUCAACCAUCCAAAGUUGACAAAGCCACCCAAACUUCCCCUAAGUAUACUCCAAAGUGUACUCCCAGAGACUAUAAUUGCCCUUAUCCACCAUGUCGUGGUCCCUCCUGUAAGCAUCCAAAGCUCUCCAA
rnacentral:lncRNA from 1 species